rnacentral:rRNA from 1 species
AGUCAAGUAAUUAAGUGCAUGUGGUGGAUGCCUUGGCAGUCAGAGGCGAUGAAAGACGUGAUAGCCUGCGAAAAGCUCCGGGGAGGCGGCAAAUAUCCUUUGAUCCGGAGAUGUCUGAAUGGAACCCACCUACUUUAAGGUAGGUAUUGCAACAUGAAUACAUAGUGUUGCAAGGCGAACGAGGGGAAGUGAAACAUCUCAGUACCCUUAGGAAAAGAAAUCAAUUGAGAUUCCCUCAGUAGCGGCGAGCGAACGGGGAUCAGCCCAUUAAGUUAUGUGUGUUUUAGUGGAACGCUCUGGGAAGUGCGAACGUAGAGGGUGAUAUUCCCGUACACGAAAGGGCACACAUAAUGAUGACGAGUAGGGCGAGGCACGUGAAACCUUGUCUGAAUAUGGGGGGACCAUCCUCCAAGGCUAAAUACUCCUGACUGACCGAUAGUGAACCAGUACCGUGAGGGAAAGGCGAAAAGAACCCCUGUGAGGGGAGUGAAAUAGAUCCUGAAACCGCAUGCAUACAAGCAGUGGGAGCACCUUCGUGGUGUGACUGCGUACCUUUUGUAUAAUGGGUCAGCGACUUAUAUUCAGUAGCGAGGUUAACCGUAUAGGGGAGCCGUAGAGAAAUCGAGUCUUAAUAGGGCGUUUAGUUGCUGGGUAUAGACCCGAAACCAGGCGAUCUAUCCAUGAGCAGGUUGAAGGUUGGGUAACACUAACUGGAGGACCGAACCCACUGUCGUUGAAAAGCCAGGGGAUGACUUGUGGAUAGGGGUGAAAGGCUAAUCAAGCCUGGUGAUAGCUGGUUCUCCCCGAAAGCUAUUUAGGUAGCGCCUCGGACGAAUACCAUAGGGGGUAGAGCACUGUUUCGGCUAGGGGGUCAUCCCGACUUACCAAACCGAUGCAAACUCCGAAUACCUAUGAGUACUAUCCGGGAGACAGACUGCGGGUGCUAACGUCCGUAGUCAAGAGGAAAACAAUCCAGACCGCCAGCUAAGGCCCCAAAAUCAUAGUUAAGUGGGAAACGAUGUGGGAAGGCAUAGACAGCUAGGAGGUUGGCUUAGAAGCAGCCACCCUUUAAAGAAAGCGUAAUAGCUCACUAGUCGAGUCGGCCUGCGCGGAAGAUGUAACGGGGCUAAAACUAUGUGCCGAAGCUGCGGAUGUAUACUUUGUAUACGUGGUAGGGGAGCGUUCUGUAAGCCGAUGAAGGUGUGUUGAGAAGCAUGCUGGAGGUAUCAGAAGUGCGAAUGCUGACGUGAGUAACGACAAAACGGGUGAAAAACCCGUUCGCCGAAAGACCAAGGGUUCCAGUCCAACGUUAAUCGGGGCUGGGUGAGUCGACCCCUAAGGCGAGGCCGAAAGGCGUAGUCGAUGGGAAAAUGGUUAAUAUUCCAUUACUUCUGUGUAAUGCGAUGAGAGGACGGAGAAGGCUAAAUCAGCCUGGCGUUGGUUGUCCAGGUGAAAGGAUGUAGGCAUGUAUCUUAGGCAAAUCCGGGGUACUCUAUGCUGAGAUCUGAUAGCAAGCUGUACUUGUACAGCGAAGUGGUUGAUGCCAUGCUUCCAGGAAAAGUCUCUAAGCUUCAGUUACACAGGAAUCGUACCCGAAACCGACACAGGUGGUCAGGUCGAGUAGACCAAGGCGCUUGAGAGAACUCUGCUGAAGGAACUAGGCAAAAUGGUACCGUAACUUCGGGAGAAGGUACGCUGUUGUUGGUGAUGGAACUCGCUUCCUGAGCUGACGACAGCCGCAGAAACCAGGCCGCUGCAACUGUUUAUUAAAAACAUAGCACUCUGCAAACACGAAAGUGGACGUAUAGGGUGUGAUGCCUGCCCGGUGCUGGAAGGUUAAUUGAUGGGGUUAGCGUAAGCGAAGCUCUUGAUCGAAGCCCCAGUAAACGGCGGCCGUAACUAUAACGGUCCUAAGGUAGCGAAAUUCCUUGUCGGGUAAGUUCCGACCUGCACGAAUGGCAUAAUGAUGGCGGCGCUGUCUCCAGCAGAGGCUCAGUGAAAUCGAAAUCGCUGUGAAGAUGCAGUGUACCCGCGGCUAGACGGAAAGACCCCGUGAACCUUUACUGCAGCUUGACACUGAACUUUGACCUUACUUGUGUAGGAUAGGUGGGAGGCUUUGAAGCUGGAACGCUAGUUCCAGUGGAGCCGUCCUUGAAAUACCACCCUGGUAAUGUUGAGGUUCUAACUCUGUCCCGUGAUCCGGGACGAGGACCGUGUCUGGUGGGUAGUUUGACUGGGGCGGUCUCCUCCUAAAGAGUAACGGAGGAGUACGAAGGUGCGCUCAGCGUGGUCGGAAAUCACGCGUAGAGUAUAAAGGCAAAAGCGCGCUUAACUGCGAGACCCACAAGUCGAGCAGGUACGAAAGUAGGUCUUAGUGAUCCGGUGGUUCUGUAUGGAAGGGCCAUCGCUCAACGGAUAAAAGGUACUCUGGGGAUAACAGGCUGAUACCGCCCAAGAGUUCAUAUCGACGGCGGUGUUUGGCACCUCGAUGUCGGCUCAUCUCAUCCUGGGGCUGAAGCAGGUCCCAAGGGUAUGGCUGUUCGCCAUUUAAAGAGGUACGCGAGCUGGGUUUAGAACGUCGUGAGACAGUUCGGUCCCUAUCUACCGUGGGCGCUGGAAAUUUGAGAGGAUCUGCUCCUAGUACGAGAGGACCAGAGUGGACGAACCUCUGGUGUACCGGUUGUGACGCCAGUCGCAUCGCCGGGUAGCUAUGUUCGGAAGGGAUAACCGCUGAAAGCAUCUAAGCGGGAAGCCUACCUCAAGAUAAGAUUUCCCUAGGACUUUAUGUCCUCUAAAGAGCCGUUCGAGACUAGGACGUUGAUAGGUUGGAUGUGGAAGCAUAGUGAUAUGUGAAGCUGACCAAUACUAAUUGCUCGUGAGGCUUGACUAU